rnacentral:rRNA from 1 species
CUCGUAGGCGGUUCGUCGCGUCCGGUGUGAAAGUCCAUCGCCUAACGGCGGAUCUGCGCCGGGUACGGGCGGGCUGGAGUGCGGUAGGGGAGACUGGAAUUCCCGGUGUAACGGUGGAAUGUGUAGAUAUCGGGAAGAACACCAAUGGCGAAGGCAGGUCUCUGGGCCGUUACUGACGCUGAGGAGCGAAAGCGUGGGGAGCGAACA